rnacentral:rRNA from 1 species
GAUGAACGCUGGCGGCGUGCCUAAUACAUGCAAGUCGAGCGAACGGACGAGAAGCUUGCUUCUCUGACGUUAGCGGCGGACGGGUGAGUAACACGUGGAUAACCUACCUAUAAGACUGGGAUAACUUCGGGAAACCGUAGCUAAUACCGGAUAAUCUUUUGAACCGCAUGGUUCAAAAGUGAAAGACGGUCUUGCUGUCACUUAUAGAUGGAUCCGCGCUGCAUUAGCUAGUUGGUAAGGUAACGGCUUACCAAGGCAACGAUGCAUAGCCGACCUGAGAGGGUGAUCGGCCACACUGGAACUGAGACACGGUCCAGACUCCUACGGGAGGCAGCAGUAGGGAAUCUUCCGCAAUGGGCGAAAGCCUGACGGAGCAACGCCGCGUGAGUGAUGAAGGUCUUCGGAUCGUAAAGCUCUGUUAUUAGGGAAGAACAUAUGUGUAAGUAACUGUGCACAUCUUGACGGUACCUAAUCAAGAAGCCACGGCUAACUACGUG